GAUCCUGGCUCAGAUUGAACGCUGGCGGCAGGCCUAACACAUGCAAGUCGAACGGUAACAGGAAGAAGCUUGCUUCUUUGCUGACGAGUGGCGGACGGGUGAGUAAUGUCUGGGAAACUGCCUGAUGGAGGGGGGAUAACUACUGGAAACGGUAGCUAAUACCGCAUAACGUCGCAAGACCAAAGAGGGGGGACCCUUCGGGCCGUCUUGCCAUCGGAUGUGCCCAGAUGGGAUUAGCUAGUAGGUGGGGUAACGGG
rnacentral:rRNA from 1 species